UAAAAUUAGGAGGCACAGCUGCAGGUAUCUUCAGCACUACCUUCCAUUUUCACAGCAGGGGUUAAGAAGAUAUUAACUUGGACAAUCUUCUCAUAAGCAGCCCUGGGCAAAAGAGGAUGAAAUCUAGACCAGAGAACAGGCUGAUCAGUACCUCCUGGAUGUCUGUCAGUGGUAGAGGGCAGACCUGACUCGAAUAAUUUUCUGUUCACCGUGGCUGUCCUGCACUGAGCAGGGCUUGGACUAGAUGACCUUUAAGUUCUUCUGCAGCAAGGACAAGGGGAGAAGAGAAGAAGAUAGGGGCAGGGACGUAGCAAGGUUGGAGUGGGCCCAGAGACAAGAUUUUAAAAUGGCCCCCCCCUCACUGAAGCUCAGCUCAUGAACAGGGUGCUAGACAGUGUGUGCAAGCAGAAUUGGCCCAGUCUUGCCCAGAGGCCUUGCAAUCCACAUGAGACAGGCAGACAUGAAAGGGAGCAGAUGGAUAGCUGCCAGUUCUCUUAAUCACAAACCUGACAACAAUGCAAAAUUGCUGGCUAUUACUGACAACCAAGAAACGACAAAUGAAUGAAAGAAAAAGCACAUAUGAAAUCUCACAGUUAUCUAAUACAUCAACUUGGAUUCUGCUUCCCCAUCAUGUCUUCUGUUAUGAUUUCAUUCUCACUCAAUGACAUUUAAUAACAUAUCUAUGUAUUUGGAUAAACAUCAAAAUUGAAAAUAUAAAACUUGUGGCCUUAUUUACAAAGAAAAUCCAAAUCUCGGAUGUGGCGUUAAAUCAUGUACUGAAUUAUAAUGUAUAAACUGUUCCCACGAACAAA